AGGGGAGUGAAAAAGAACCUGAAACCGUGUACGUACAAGCAGUGGGAGCCUCUUUAUGGGGUGACUGCGUACCUUUUGUAUAAUGGGUCAGCGACUUAUAUUCUGUAGCAAGGUUAACCGAAUAGGGGAGCCGAAGGGAAACCGAGUCUUAACUGGGCGUUAAGUUGCAGGGUAUAGACCCGAAACCCGGUGAUCUAGCCAUGGGCAGGUUGAAGGUUGGGUAACACUAACUGGAGGACCGAACCGACUAAUGUUGAAAAAUUAGCGGAUGACUUGUGGCUGGGGGUGAAAGGCCAAUCAAACCGGGAGAUAGCUGGUUCUCCCCGAAAGCUAUUUAGGUAGCGCCUCGUGAAUUCAUCUCCGGGGGUAGAGCACUGUUUCGGCAAGGGGGUCAUCCCGACUUACCAACCCGAUGCAAACUGCGAAUACCGGAGAAUGUUAUCACGGGAGACACACGGCGGGUGCUAACGUCCGUCGUGAAGAGGGAAACAACCCAGACCGCCAGCUAAGGUCCCAAAGUCAUGGUUAAGUGGGAAACGAUGUGGGAAGGCCCAGACAGCCAGGAUGUUGGCUUAGAAGCAGCCAUCAUUUAAAGAAAGCGUAAUAGCUCACUGGUCGAGUCGGCCUGCGCGGAAGAUGUAACGGGGCUAAACCAUGCACCGAAGCUGCGGCAGCGACACUAUGUGUUGUUGGGUAGGGGAGCGUUCUGUAAGCCUGUGAAGGUGUACUGUGAGGUAUGCUGGAGGUAUCAGAAGUGCGAAUGCUGACAUAAGUAACGAUAAAGCGGGUGAAAAGCCCGCUCGCCGGAAGACCAAGGGUUCCUGUCCAACGUUAAUCGGGGCAGGGUGAGUCGACCCCUAAGGCGAGGCCGAAAGGCGUAGUCGAUGGGAAACAGGUUAAUAUUCCUGUACUUGGUGUUACUGCGAAGGGGGGACGGAGAAGGCUAUGUUGGCCGGGCGACGGUUGUCCCGGUUUAAGCGUGUAGGCUGGUUUUCCAGGCAAAUCCGGAAAAUCAAGGCUGAGGCGUGAUGACGAGGCACUACGGUG
rnacentral:rRNA from 1 species